rnacentral:misc_RNA from 1 species
UGACUGACAGACUUCUGCAUCCUCGCGCGCCCCACGUGUUGAUGCAACGUGACUGUGCUGUUGCACUUUUCUCGCCCCCUCUUGUCUCCCUUGCGUUGGUGUUUGUGUGUGUGUGCGUGCGUGCUGCUGUGGAUGUGCUUCCCUCACCUCUGCUGAGAUACAGCAAUCGACCCCUUCCCCCCCCCCCGCCCCCAACACACACACACACGCACACACACAGGCAUACCUACAAUCCACAAACGCACAUAGAAGAGGUACAUGCUUUGCGCAUCAAGAGUGACCACAUAACCGCCACGGAAGCAGUGCUGCCGCCACCGUCAUCAUAGACCCCUCCUUUAUGCACGCGCAGAGACGCAACCAAACCUCCCUUGUGUACGUGGCCGCGUAGCUCAAGCCUGAUGGAGACUAUCGCGGUAGAAACAGGUCCGUGCGACCUCUAUCAUGCCCUCGGAUCCGUUCCGUCUGGCGACCCGUCACUGAAAGAAGCCACCCUGCUCUGCGUUGCCUCAAGUGCGUGUUCCUGCGAAGCGGCGCCAUCUGCCAACGAAGCACACGACACCACCGCAGCGAGCAUUUCUUGUGGUGCUGGCGCUCCCGCUUGGCUCUCUGCGACAGUGACGUGCACGUUGGACGUGCUCAUCCAGGUGCAUCCUUCUCUCUCACGAGGCAGGUUUGCCGAUUUCCUAGGUGGAUGCCAUGGCGUCACCGUGAAAAAGUCGGAACCGCACUUCGCGCGCGUCACCUGCUGUAACGCUCGUGACCUUUGUGAGCUACACGACGGACUCAUCAGACUACCGCUCUCUCCUGCGGACGUUGUCGCCACGGAUGUGAGCACCUGCAGCACUCGUGUGAAAGCUGCCAACUUGUCAAGCGUGUGGUCAGGCCAAAGUGCGCGAGGCAGGGGUGCUCAGAGCAGCACCGUCGGUAGCACUGGCGGCCGAGCCAUGGAGACGGCGAUUGCGAGUGCUGCAGAGGCGAAUUGUUGCUCCGCGCACGCGGUCUGCUGCGCCCCUGAGUAUCUUGCGGUCCUCAGUGAGAUGAGGUCGGCGUGUGUGGCCAGGAGCCUGCCGACUGUCGCCCUUAUCGUUCGAUUUCCGCAGCGGUGCCGUCGUGCGCUCGUACUGCUGCGCCCCACGGUCAGCAGGCGGCACAAGAAGUAUAGAGUGGCCUACCAUGCAUCGCUGCGCUUCGUCAGCGAGAGCAUGCAGCGCGUGGCGCUGAUGCCAAUGGGGGACGCAGCUGUGCUGCUGGCCGAUACGUUCAUUCACGACGCUGCGCUAUCUGCGUGUGCGUUCACCGAGGACAGCGGUGCCUCGGCGACGCUGGUAUUGCGCGGGAGCUAUCUCUCCCUGCACGAUGGAGAGCAGCAAAGUGGUGCGCUGCAGCCGCUGCUCCUUCAUCUUGGGCUGCGCGGUGCGCCAGCUCGACGGCGCGUCCUUCGGUCUCUGCUGCGUUGCCGCGUCACAGGGGCGUGGCAUCGUCUGAGGUCCCCCGCACGCGGCGCCAGUCGAGCGCCGUACUGCCGUCCUGUCGUCUCGGAGCUCGUGCUCUACACCAGCGGAGGCCACAUACUGGUGUUUGAGCUUUUCAUGGCCGACGGGGCGCACGAAGCGCUGACUUUGGCGGGCAAAGAAGACCCAUCUAUGACUGUCGUCUACACAUGCUGCGUCGGAACUCGUCUGCUGUUCUCGAAGCUUGACGCUUCCGCAGCCGCAGAAUCCAUUGCAGUCUCUCGACCCGGUGAUUAUGUCUGCGGCGGCGCGCUCCUCGUCGCACCGCCGUGGGGAUUUGCCGACCGGUGGCGCCACUCUCCAUGGAUGGAAAGGGCGCUCACGCUCGCCACAACACCGUCUGUCGCUGUAUCGGGCGUGCUCGUCUUGGGCGAGGGAGGCCGUCGCCGUCGCCGGCACCGUCCCUCUUCGGUGCUGGCCAUGAGCCCUAACCGCGGUGUGUGGCUGCUCAGAACAGAUUCGCAGCUCUGCGUGGCGAGCGUUCCCACAGGCACAGGCGCGAUGGGGGAGCACGGUGACGCGGAACCGACUCUCACCACCGCAGUGAAGCUGGAUUCCUCACACGCUCUCCAUGACGUACAGUACGUGGCAUGCGGUGGUCAUGCCGGUUUCUUGCUGCUGUGCCGGCACAGCAGCGCGGGUGCAGCUGAGCCGUGGGACAUGACCUCGGCGAUGAGCCCGGUGACGGUCACCUCAGCCGUUGGCGAUCGCUUCGUCCACUGCUCGCAUUCGCAGAGUCCUCUGCAGCUUCUGUUUCUCUCCCUCACGGCAAUGGGGACGUCUGCUGCUGCUGCCUCCGACGCGGCCAUCUCGCCCUUGUUGCCGGUGCCGCUGAUUUCUUCCUCGAUUCUCGAGUCGCUACCGCCGUCCUUCGCCCAUCCGUCGAGCCGGCUGCGCCUCGUCUGCGCAGUUUCUGCCGCCGACACGCCGGACUCGAUGGUGGCGUCCGAGAACCUCAGCGACACUCUUUACGUUGCCAUCAGCAGUAGUGGCGAUGCUCGUUUCGCGUGGACAGUGACGGUGCGCCUCCCGUCUGUGUGGCCGUCGUGCACAUCGCUGUUCCAGCUCUGUCCCAAAGAGUGUAGCGGAAUCGCCGGAGGAGCAGGCACCGCUACUGGCGGCGCGUGCCAGGCCGCCUCGACGCUUCAGUGGACCGCCCACGCGCUGAGCGCUCUGUUCCCGCACGCAUGUCUGAUGGCAGGUGGUAACGAGGUCAGUGCGUGGAGGACAGCGGUGCAGGGCACCACCGUUUCUUCCCUCAGCAAGGCGUCGCCGUCAGCAGUCGCAUCUGAGGAGGAGUCGCCGCUGGAGACGGCGCUCGAGGCGGCGCUUUUAGAGUUGAACUAUCCGUACAAACACGGAACGACUUCGGCUGCUGCUGCUGCUGCAUUGAAUGCGGCUCUUGGUCGGGGACCCCAUGCGGACGGUGCGGCGUUGUACUACCCCGCGGCUACAGUUGCGUUUCACGACGCGUUGCACGCUCUUCUGCACGCGUGCUUCUGCGGGGAGGCAGCGAGUGCAGCCGGCGCGGUCGCCGUCGUCGCCGGCUUCUCGGCUGCCCUGCGCAUGAGUGGGCUCCUGGCCAGGGGCAGGGACUGCCCUGAUGCCCGUGGUGGCGGCGUCGUGGCCACUAUGCGGAUUGUGGCGUUCUUGCACGGGUGCGCACAGCUUCUCCGACACGCGAUGGAGGACGUGGCGGCUGUGGGUAACGUAUCGGCGCUGCAGGCCUGCGCAUCCCACUUGGCUCAGACGGUGGAAGCAGGCGCAGCGCGAAGGUCAUCUUCGGCGAUGACGGCAACGGCGUGGGAGGUGUGGGGCCUUUUGCUGCAGCCUCUUUUCGACUUUGUGUGGGGUGUCGUGCAGGCGUACGGCGUAUCGGCUGAGGUGGCUGCCGGCCUGCUCGAGUACUGCAGUCCUGCGGUGCGGUCAAUGGUGCAUGCGAGAAGGCAUUGGUGGCCUGAAGGAGGCAGCGCUGUCCAUGACACGAAGCCCGAUAACGCUGCACCACUCAAAGUUCCCGAGGAGACGCCAUGCACGAGUGGACCGGCGGCCCAUGCUGUGUCUGCUGGAUUGUCGGCGCAGCACGACGGUGUCGCGUCACCUUCCGGACAACACACUUCUGUGCCCACUGCCAUGUCAGUUUCCCCGGCUGCCGCGGCGACAGCGUCAGCAUCAUCGUGCACGAGUGCGGAACUGUACGAGUUGGUGCGUCGAGUGUUUCUCGCGCAGGGUGCCUCAGCAGCGCUGGGUCUGCUUGGCGAGCUGCAGCGACACGACAGCACCAAAGCCGGUGUGGCGGAAAUGGCGCAGAUGUUGGAGGCGAUGCAGCGCCGGCUUCAGGGGGCCGCCGUAUGAGGGCAGCGGGCCACGCGGGUGAGGGUCUGUGUGUGUGUGCGCGCUUUUUCGCCCAUUUCUGCCUCGCACCUCCUCCACAGCAUCCGCAGAAGCGUCGUGGGAGGGGGGCCCUUUGUGUGCCACGUGGCGCAACGCCGCGGUAGGACGACAUCUAUCUGACACCCCACACCCAUGCAUCCAACAUACAUUCUGCAAUGGACGCACAGCCACAAAAGACAGGGGGAGCGACCGACGCCUGCUCAUAUGCUCGGGGGCAACACGCCGGAUGCCGCACAGCCGAACACACAAGCGCGGGUGUGAAUGGAGGCCUCUGCACUGUACGAGAGUGCCCCCCCUCCCACAUUCCCCAACACCCACUGCUCCUCUCCUCUCCGCUCACAUAUUGCCUUAUUCUGAUCACCUGUGCUUUCACUUUUCGCCCGCCCUCGCCCUUCUUAAUUCUGCCCUGCCCCUCUCGCUCUCCCUCUCCGCGCACACGCACGUCAUUGUCGUCCCGGACUCUCGCUCUCUUCGGAAAUUGAGAG